rnacentral:rRNA from 1 species
AAUAAAGGGGUCUUACCAUGCAGUCGAGCGGAAGGCCCUUCGGGGUACUCGAGCGGCGAACGGGUGAGUAACACGUGAGCAACCUGCCCUAGGCUUUGGGAUAACCCCGGGAAACCGGGGCUAAUACCGAAUAUUACCGCUGACCGCAUGGUUGGUGGUGGAAAGUUUUUCGGCCUGGGAUGGGCUCGCGGCCUAUCAGCUUGUUGGUGGGGUGAUGGCCUACCAAGGCGACGACGGGUAGCCGGCCUGAGAGGGCGACCGGCCACACUGGGACUGAGACACGGCCCAGACUCCUACGGGAGGCAGCAGUGGGGAAUAUUGCACAAUGGGCGGAAGCCUGAUGCAGCGACGCCGCGUGAGGGAUGACGGCCUUCGGGUUGUAAACCUCUUUCAGCAGGGACGAAGCGUAAGUGACGGUACCUGCAGAAGAAGCGCCGGCCAACUACGUGCCAGCAGCCGCGGUAAGACGUAGGGCGCGAGCGUUGUCCGGAUUUAUUGGGCGUAAAGAGCUCGUAGGCGGCUUGUCGCGUCGACUGUGAAAACCCGCAGCUCAACUGCGGGCCUGCAGUCGAUACGGGCAGGCUAGAGUUCGGUAGGGGAGACUGGAAUUCCUGGUGUAGCGGUGAAAUGCGCAGAUAUCAGAGGAACACCGGUGGCGAAGGCGGGUCUCUGGGCCGAUACUGACGCUG